GGGCAGCGCUGGGAAAUGUCACAACAUUCCCGUCUGAUCGUUAAAAAAGUGAAUUUUGGGAGCGCUCCAGUGUUCCAGCAGGAAUCUGGGAGAGGGGGACUCUGCUUAAAGCAGAUUUUUCCUUGGCGCUGAAGGAGAAGCGGGAACUCCAAGGACUCCCGAUGCUGGAGCCGCUCCCGCCUGGCCCGCGGGGUUUUCCCUUCCCUGGAAACCCGGGAGCCGCCGGUUUAUUCCAGCCUGAACUAACAAGUGGCUUUUCCAUGAUUUUUCCCAGCUCAGCCAUGGAAACGGGAACCUCUGGCAAGGCACCGCUGGAGGGAUUCUUCCCUCCCCGACAGGAGGGGCGGGAUUCGGAGGCCCCCAGAAGUUUAUUUUGGGAUUUAACUGAGGCAGGACUGACCCCAUGGAGCCUGAUCCUCUCUCCCUGCGCCUGCCGGGAGCCAGGGAUGCAACGGGGAUUCUCAUGGAAUGCCAGGGAUUUGGGCUCCACGCCAGCAGGGUCCCCAGGGAUCGCUGCUCCAGGUGGUCCCUCGCUCCGUGCCUCAGUUUCCCUUCCCGAGCAUCCUCCAUGCCCGCGGCUCCGGCGGGAGGAGCCUGGGAAUGCCAGGAGAUGGCACCAUCCUCCCGGCUGGAGCUGCCACCCCACAACAACGCCCCAAAAAAAGGGUUCUUCAGCCCGGGGAAUCAUCCGGAAGCAUGGAAUCAUCCAGGACCGUGGAAUCACUAAGGUUGGAAAAGCCCUCUGAGGUCACCGAGUCCACCCGUGCCCCCAGCACUGAGCGUGUCCCCAAGUGCCACAUCCACCGAUAAAUCCCGCCGGGAAUGGGGACUCCACCUGGCAGCUGUGCCAGGGCUGGAGAGCCCUUCCCGGGGAGGAAUUUCCCCAACACCCAACCUAAACUUCCCUGGCACAACCUGAAGUUAUUUCCUGCCAUCCUCAUCCUCCUCCUCAUCCUCCUAAUCCUCAUCAUCAUCAUCCUCAUCAUCCUCCUCCUCCUCAUCAUCAUCAUCCUCCUCAUCAUCCUACUACUCCUCCUCCUCAUCCUCUCGGCAUCAAGCAAAGGAUCCAAGCACAGGGAGAAUCCAGGGGGUUUCUCUCCAAUCCUCCCGCAGAGCUGCCGGCACAGGGAUCCCAGGCGGAUCGGCACCUUUAUCCCGGUUCCAUCCCCAUGCCAGGGGGGAGCAGGGCGGGAUUCCAGCCCGGCGGGGCUGGCGCUCCGGGAUGUGUCCCGCUCCCGAGCCAGCGUGUCCAUGGAUUUCUCGGCGGGCUGGCCGCCGGCCGAGCCGCUUCCCCGGCCGUUCAAAGGCUUUUCUUGUUCCCGCAGAAGGGCUCCUUUCACAGCCGCCUUUCCUAGACAGAAAUUGUCAUUUUCCAAACACAGCUUCCCUUCUCCUGGCCCGGAGCCCUCCGCCUCCCUGACGUCAGCCCGCCUUUGUGAUGCUCCGGCUGGAAUUUUGCGCUCCUGGUUCUUUUCACUGCCUUUAAACGAGCGCGGGGUGAGGGGCAGCGGGGCGGCCGCGGGGGGAUUCGGAUGGAGACGGGGCCUUGGCACCGGGAUCCGAGCAGGGCUGGGAUCCCUGGGAACCGGCCCAGAGCCCCGCAUGGAUGUGGAGAACUUCGUAAUCGAGUUUCUUGGUGUGUGGGAGAAGAAAAAUAUUUAUUUAUUAUUAUUAUUAUUAUUAUUAUUAUCUUGUUCUCGUUCUUGUUCUUGUUGUUAUAUUUAUUUUUUAUUAUUUUUAUUUUUAUUUCUUUUUUAUCAUUAAUCGCAUUAUUCUGAUUCUUAUUCCCACUGUUAUUCCCAUUACUCUCAAGAUUCUUCACGCUGUUGUAAUUUCUCUUUAUCAUCAUUAUCCCGGUUUUUACUAAUUCCCGGGCUUUUUUGGGACCGUCUGCAGAGGAUUUUCCAGCCUGCCCACACCAAGCAAGGCACCCACCGAGGGCUCCAGCUCCGGGAUGGAGGCUCCCGGUGCCUUUUCCGUGGUAGGGAAAUGAGGAUGAGGAGCCAUCGAUGCCCUGUCCCCAGGGGAGGCCAGCACAGAGGUGGCACCGGGAGUGUCCCCCGUGGUGACACCCGGCGGGUGCCGCGACCCGGCCCAGGCCCCGCUCGGGCACCGUUGAGACAAAACCCCAAAACGGCAGCAACCCCUGGAAAACCGAUCCCUGCUCGCUGCCCGGAUUCCCCUUCUCGCUCCAGCCCUGUCCUCUGCUCCCGGAUCCACCGGGGGGCACAGCCCUGCUGGCGGCGGUGGCAUCGCCCCAGGCUUUGUCCCCCCCCGGUGACUCCCGGCCGUGCCCGCGCCGCUCCUGGCACUCGAAAUUUUCCAGCGCUGGCCCCGUCCCAGCGCCGGGGUUGGUUUGGCAGCGGAGCAGAAUCGGCUCAGUGUUGUCGCCGGGGCAAAGUCCGGCUCUCCGCGGGCUCUUCCCGGUGGAAUGUUUGUGUUCCACCCCGCUGCCACCAGCGCCGCGCCGGCCCGGCCGGGACGCGUCCCCUGCCCGGUCCCUUCGGCUCCCGUCCCAAGGGGGUCACACUCGGCCCUUGAAGGGGCUCUCGGGGGUCUCUGCCGGGGUGGAGGCCCCCUCCAUCCCCCAUUCCCACCUCAUCCAUGAAAGGGACCCUCGUGGUGCCACCAGCCCCACACUUCCUGCCUGAGGGUCCCCGCUGGGGUCCCUGGUCACCAACACUGGCCGGAGCAGCGACACCGAGGGGGGGACCCCAAAUUCCCGGAUUCCCAUCUGCCAGUGGGGGCUGGUGGCUCUUCCCUGCUCCAUAACGAGCCCCGAUGGGAGCUUUGGGGUGGUUUGGGGUCUGGGCUGCGCCGUGCCCUUGGGACCGGGAGCAGAUCCCAACCUUCCCCUCUGGGCUUGUCUCCCUUGGGAAACGCAGGUGUGAGAUCUGAGGGAUCUGCGGGAUCUGCGAGCGCCUGGGAACAUCCGCUGGCUCCGGGGCCUCGCUCUGCUGCUUCCCGGAGGAGCUGCGGGGAGCGCCGGGACCUGUUCUACCUGUGCGCGCUUCCCGGGCAGGGACAUUCCUGCCGUGCCUCGGCGCUGAGUCACGCGUGGCUCCCGCGGCUCCCCGCGCCCGGCUCCGCUUCCAGGGGUGCCUCAUUCCCGAGGGAGGCGGGGCACGGCCUCGCUGCUUUCCCACGUUCCCGGGGAAAGCUCCGGGCGCCAUCCCGGGAAGGCGAGCGGCUGUGCCGAGCC
rnacentral:lncRNA from 13 species